GGUGGUGUAGCGUAAUGGGUAGAGCGCUGCACUGAAGACCUUACGGUUGUGGAUUCGACUCCCACCAUCCUCA